rnacentral:rRNA from 1 species
AACGAACGCUGGCGGCAUGCCUAACACAUGCAAGUCGAACGAGACCUUCGGGUCUAGUGGCGCACGGGUGCGUAACGCGUGGGAACCUGCCCUUAGGUUCGGAAUAACUCCCCGAAAGGGGUGCUAAUACCGGAUAAUGUCUUCGGACCAAAGAUUUAUCGCCUUUGGAUGGGCCCGCGUUGGAUUAGCUAGUUGGUAGGGUAAAAGCCUACCAAGGCGACGAUCCAUAGCUGGUCUGAGAGGAUGAUCAGCCACACUGGGACUGAGACACGGCCCAGACUCCUACGGGAGGCAGCAGUGGGGAAUAUUGGACAAUGGGCGAAAGCCUGCUCCAGCAAUGCCGCGUGAGUGAUGAAGGCCUUAGAGUUGUAAAGCUCUUUUACCCGGGAUGAUAAUGACAGUACCGGGAGAAUAAGCUCCGGCUAACUCCGUG